rnacentral:rRNA from 1 species
CCGACGGUGAGAGGCGAAAGCUGGGGGAGCAAACCGGAUUAGAUACCCGGGUAGUCCCAGCUGUAAACGAUGCAGACUCGGUGAUGCGUUGGCUUGUUGCUAGCGCAGUGCCGCAGGGAAGCCGUUAAGUUUGCCGCCUGGGAAGUACGUACGCAAGUAUGAAACUUAAAGGAAUUGGCGGGGGAGCACCACAAGGGGUGAAGCCUGCGGUUCAAUUGGAGUCAACGCCUGAAACCUUACCCGGAGAGACAGCAGAAUGAAGGUCAAGCUGAAGACUUUACCAGACAAGCUGAGAGGUGGUGCAUGGCCGUCGCCAGCUCGUGCCGUGAGAUGUCCUGUUAAGUCAGGUAACGAGCGAGAUCCCUGCCUCUAGUUGCCACCAUUACUCUCAGGAGUAGUGGGGCGAAUUAGGGGGACCGCCGCAGUUAAUGCGGAGGAAGGAAGGGGCCACGGCAGGUCAGUAUGCCCCGAAACUCUGGGGCCACACGCGGGCUGCAAUGGUAACGACAAUGAGUUCCGAAAUCGAAAGAUGGAGGUAAUCCCUAAACGUUACCACAGUUAUGAUUGAGGGCUGCAACUCGCCCUCAUGAAUAUGGAAUCCCUAGUAACCGCGUGUCAUUAUCGCGCAGUGAAUACGUCCCUGCUCCUUGCACACACCGCCCGU